UGAACAGAAGCAAUUAUUUUGCACCUGACUGUUACUCAGGAGUUAGUCAUUUUAAUCUGACCUGUUCAU
rnacentral:tRNA from 1 species